GGAAUCUUAGACAAUGGGCGCAAGCCUGAUCUAGCCAUGCCGCGUGAGCGAUGAAGGCCUUAGGGUUGUAAAGCUCUUUCACCGGGGAAGAUAAUGACGGUACCCGUAGCAGAAGCCCCGGCUAACUCCGUGCCAGCAGCCGCGGUAAUACGGAGGGGGCUAGCGUUGUUCGUAAUUACUGGGCGUAAAGCGCGCGUAGGCAGGCGGUUAAGUCGGGGGUGAAAUCCCGGGGCUCAACCCCGGAACUGCCUUCGAUACUGGCCGCCUGGAGUCCGAGAGAGGUGAGUGGAAUUCCGAGUGUAGAGGUGAAAUUCGUAGAUAUUCGGAGGAACACCAGUGGCGAAGGCGGCUCACUGGCUCGGUACUGACGCUGAGGUGCGAAAGCGUGGGGAGCAAA
rnacentral:rRNA from 1 species